UUAUCUUCUCUCUAAUUCCCGUUUCCAUCCCCCUUUCCCAACUCAAUCUGCCUCUCGCUCGCUCUCUCUCCCUCACACAGACAGACAGAAACACACACACACAGACAGACAGACAGAGAGGAGCCGGGAGCGCACAUGUGAGUCGAAGACCUCCCUAACCGCUCAGCUCCACUCCGUACUCCCUCCCAUGGCAGACAGAAAACUGGAGAAGAGGAGGAAUAGAGGAAUACUGCAGUGACCAACCAGCUGCUCUCUCUCUCUCGCUACUCCACUGCUUUCAUCCUUUCUUUUUAAAAUUAUUUCUCCCCCCUGUGCCAAUUAUACCAUGAACCUGCCUGCUGCUUGUUCCUAAGGACAGCAAAACAGGGAGCAGUGGACAAGGUAUUCUUUUGUUGCUAAGCCUCCUGAGCCUAGGACACAGCAGUCAUGGAGGAGGGAUCCAGAGACCAGGGACAACAGUGUGUGGGGACAACAGAUCCCGAGGAGGACUCUCCCAACACGAUCAUCUACAGAAAGAUUGAAGACGUCAUUAUGCGGCUACAGGAUGAGAAGGCAGGAGGGGUGGCCAUCCGAACUGUCAAGAGCUUCCUGUCCAAGAUCCCCAGUGUGGUAUCAGGAGCAGACAUUGUGCAGUGGCUGAUGAAAAACCUCUCCAUUGAGGACUCAGCGUUAGUCUUCUUUCCUGUAGCUGAAGCCAUUCAUUUAGGGAGCCUGAUCGCUGCCCUUGGCUACCUCUUCCCCAUCUCCGACCACGUCCUCACUCUCAAAGAUGAUGGGACCCUGUACCGCUUCCAGGCUCCAUACUUCUGGCCCUCUAAUUGUUGGGAACCUGAGAACACAGACUAUGCUAUCUACCUGUGCAAGCGCACCAUGCAGAACAAGGCCAGGCUGGAGCUAGCUGACUACGAGGCCGAGAACCUGGCGCGACUGCAGAGGGCCUUCGCCAGGAAGUGGGAGUUCAUCUUCAUGCAAGCUGAGGCGCAGGUCAAGAUCGACAGGAAGAAGGACAAGGCUGAGAGGAAGAUCCUAGACAGCCAGGAGAGGGCAUUCUGGGACGUCCAUCGCCCUGUGCCAGGCUGUGUAAACACCACAGAGAUGGACAUUCGCAAGUGCCAGAGAGAGAAGAAUCCACAGAGGGUGAAAAAGUCGGUGUAUGGGGUAACAGACGACACCCACACUCAGAGUUCAGUCCACCAGUCCCUCCCGUCCCAGCCGUCCAGGAAGCCCACCAGAGAGGACGUGCAGAAGGAGAUUUCCUUCUUGAACAUGCAGCUGGACAGACACUGUAUGAAAAUGUCCAAAGUAGCAGACAGCCUCAUGAGCUACACAGAACAGUUCAUGGUCUACGAUCCUUUAGCAUCAACUGUUGAACCGUCCAACCCCUGGAUCAGCGAUGACAUGACCUUCUGGGACCUGGAGGCUAGCCGGGACCCCAGCCAGCACCGUGUGAAGAAGUGGGGCUUCUCUCUGGAGGAGGCCCUCAAGGACCCAGCGGGACGGGAUGCUUUCCUCAAGUUCCUGGAGUCGGAGUUCAGCUCAGAGAACCUCCGGUUCUGGUUGUCAGUGCAGGACCUGAAGCGGAGGCCCCUUGAGAACGUGGCAGCCAGGGCCCAGGAGAUCUGGCAGGAGUUCCUGGCAGAGGGUGCACCCAGCUCCAUCAACCUGGACUCCCACAGCUAUGAGCUGACCAGCCAUAACCUAAAAGAUCCUGGACGAUACAGCUAUGAGGACGCACAGGAACAUAUCUUCAAGUUGAUGAAAAGUGACAGCUAUGCACGCUUCCUGAGAUCCAACAUUUAUCAGGACCUCCUGCUAGCCAGGAAGAAGCUGCUCUCUAAAAUGGAAAAUAAAGCAAGUCCUGUUAUACUGUGUACUAGGAUGAUCAGCACCACAGCAGAUCAAAGCAUCAUCUUCUCUUGACAGAGGGUGACCAGGGCCGCCGUACCUCCCUGGAGAAGUUCACCCGCAGUGUGGGCAAGUCAUUGACGGGCAAGCGGCUGACAGGGCUGAUGCAGUCAUCCUGACACUGCCUGGGCUGGAGGGGCACAGACAGACACCCCUGGAGGGGCCAUGACCAUGCAGGGAGAGGGGCGCUGCUGGGGUGGGGAGCUCUGCUCUGGUGGGUCACAGCCAGUGCCAUGCAGCGCUGGAAUUAGGACUACUCACAGAACCACAGAUCA